rnacentral:lncRNA from 1 species
UUUUGUUAAACUUGAUAAACCACAAUUGCAAGAGAUAGCUACAAAAUCUUAUUCAAAACUAAACGUCAAUUCAAAUCUUAUUGGAUUGCAAAUACGUUGAAGCUAAUUUCAAUAGUAUCUUGUAUUCCAUUGCCGAUUCAUCUCUCCUAUUUUGGGUCUUCGGUGUUGAUCUGGUAUGUUUUCCCUUUUUUUUGUUUCACCUAAUUCCCACACAAGUUUCUAAAAAUCGUUUUUUAUACAUUUUCUAUUUGCUUUGAUAUUUUGUCUCUGGGUUUGACCAAUGGGAUGUUUUGAACACUGAAUUCGUAUCUGAAUUAUUAGUUCGCGUUUUCUAUUGUUUAUGUUCGUCAUUUAUGAAGGUACUAAGGGUUAGAAGAUUAGAACUUUGCAUUUUCAUUUGAAUAUUGAUUGUUAUUCCCCACAUCUUUACAUACUUAUUGUAGAUUAAUGCGGAAAAGCUACUAAAGAUAGCAAGUGUUGUUUGCAAGGGUAGUUUUAGAAGGUUAGAACUUUACAUUUGCAUUUGAAUGUCAUAACUGGCACAAUCAAGUGUAGUGAUUCCAUUUUUCUAGCAAAAUAGCAACUUACUUAUGAUUUCUUCCACUUUGAGCAAAAUACCUUGAUUUUUGUAAUAAUUAAAUCCAAAAAUGUUGCUAUGAGGUCGUUGUCGACUCUAAACUUUACAUACACAUACAAGAAAUUAAUGUGCUAUAUAGGUAAUCUCACACUGUUGAUUUCCUUAUUAAAGUUCAGUAAGGUUUAAAUUAAAUGCCAAAUUUUGUGGUGCCUGUUUUCGUGAAUCUAUUUUUCAUAUUGUUGAGGCAAUAAAGGCAUAUUUGAUUAUUGUUAGACUUUUAAACUAAUUAUUUCUGUUAAAAAUAAAGAUAAAACUAUAAUGUUAAUUGGAUAGAUAUUUUAUACGCUAAAAUAUAUAAACAUGCCCUUUUUGGUUAUUUUAUAUUUACCUUUUGUGCAAUAAUUUUCUCAAAAUUCGAUCAUCAAGCUUUUAUUCCAGGCUAUAUAAUUGAUCAAGAAAUUGUCUAGAGAUUAUUAUGUGGCCAAAAGCCCAGCUAUCAAAGGUUUGUUCUUUUCACUGUACAUACUUCAUUAUCUAUUUGGUUCUAAAGCAUUUGAAUUUGAGCAUCAAAUGCUUCCAAUAAAUAUGAUUAUAAAAUGUAAUUUUUUUUGUUUCUAGAUUAUAAACAAUCUAAAGUUAUUUUAAUAUCAUGUUUCUAUUAUGACAAUGUUUUCAGCGGUUCAAAUCUCUGUCUUAUUAUGGUUUGGUUUUAUAUUUUUUUCCAUAAAAAAUAAGCAUUUAUAUGCAAACGGGUUCAAAUCCCAAAAAUAAUUUGUACAUGUAAAAAAGGAAUUAACGAAUUUUGUUUCUUUGGUUAAAUUCCAAAGAAUAUAGUUGGUUGGUUUUAUAUUUGUUCCCAUAAAAAAUUGGCAUUUAUAUGCCCAAGAGUUGAAAUCCCGAAAAUAUUGGUCUUUACUUUCAGGGGUAUAUUAGGAAUUUCUUAUAUAAAAAAGGAAUUGACAGGUUUUAUCCUUCUGGUGUUGCCCACUUAGUGCAUUGUUAUUUUUGGCUUCGGAGGUGUUACAGAUCUGUAAUCCUUUGCUGCUGUUUUACUUAGGCUUUUAGGUUUAGUUUGGUGUGGUUGUAGUGAAUUUCUUGUAUUUGUACUCCUUUGGUUGGUGUCCAGCUUCUCUUUACCUUUUUUAUUUUAUAUAUUUUACUUUUAAAUGUUUUGUUAAUCUUUUGUCUUAUUUGUGUAAUUGUAGGGAUGCUUUUAUGUUCUAAUAACUUGAAAAGUGUAUCCAUGUAUGUUUAAUAGAGAGACGAAGAUGAAGAAAAUGAUCCAAGAUGUUGACUCUAUUUCCACAAUCACAUAGUCAAGUUCUAUAAACAUUAAAAGUGUAUUCAUGCAUGUCGUUUCCACGAUUGAUUGUGUUUUUUUACACUCUAUUCAAAUUUAUAUUAUGUUCUAUAAAAUCAAUAAUUAUAUUAAAUGUCUUUACGUACGUAAUGUAUAUUGGAUAUUCAAAUAAAAAUAUAUAUUAAUUUUACUUUUUAAAUGUUUAAUUUUACAACACUAU